ACCGGCGCACGGGUGAGUAUCACGUGGAUAAUCUGCCUCGAUGACGGGAAUAACGUUCCGAAAGGAGCGCUAAUGCCCGAUAAGACCACGGUGGCUUCGGCUGCUGAGGUAAAAGGAUGGCCUCUGUAUACAAGCUAUCGCAUUGAGAUGAGUCCGCGGCCCAUCAGCUAGUUGGCGGGGUAACGGCCCACCAAGGCAAAGACGGGUAGCUGGUCUAAGAGGACGAUCAGCCACACUGGAACUGAGACACGGUCCAGACUCCUACGGGAGGCAGCAGUGGGGAAUUUUGCGCAAUGGGCGAAAGCCUGACGCAGCGACGCCGCGUGAGUGAUGAAGGCCUUCGGGUCGUAAAGCUCUUUCGGUCGGGACGAAACUCGGUUGGCUAGCAUCCAACCGCUUGACGGUACCGGCAGAAGAAGCACCGGCUAACUCUGUGCCAGCAGCCGCGGUAAUACAGAGGGUGCAAGCGUUGUUCGGAAUUAUUGGGCGUAAAGCGCGUGUAGGCGGCCGGGCCAGUCCCGUGUGAAAUCCGUCAGCUCAACUGACGAAGUGCGCGGGA
rnacentral:rRNA from 1 species